AGUAAUACAUCGGAACGUAUCCUGUAGCGGGGGAUAACCUCUCGAAAGAGAGGCUAAUACCGCAUACGACCUACGGGUGAAAGAGGGGGAUCGCAAGACCUCUCACUAUUGGAGCGGCCGAUGUCGGAUUAGCUAGUUGGCGGGGUAACGGCCCACCAAGGCGACGAUCAGUAGCUGGUCUGAGAGGAUGAUCAGCCACAUUGGGACUGAGACACGGCCCAA
rnacentral:rRNA from 1 species